UACAGAGGUCUCAAGCGUUGUUCGGAUUCAUUGGGCGUAAAGGGUGCGUAGGCGGCGCGUUAAGUCACUUGUGAAAUCUCUGAGAUUAACUCAGAACGGCCAAGUGAUACUGCAGUGCUAGAGUGUGGAAGGGGCAAUCGGAAUUCUUGGUGUAGCGGUGAAAUGCGUAGAUAUCAAGAGGAACACCUAAGGUGAAGACGGGUUGCUGGGCCAACACUGACGCUGAUGCGCGAAAGCCAGGGGAGCAAACGGG
rnacentral:rRNA from 1 species